ACUUUUAAAAAAAGUAUGUUCCAUCUGAUCUCACCUGAUCUUGAAAGCUAAGCAGGGUCGGGCCUGGUUAAUACUUGGAUGGGAGACCACGUAGGAAGACCAGGUACUGUAGGUG
rnacentral:rRNA from 1 species